AUCCAUCCAUCCAUUCUCUAUACACCGCUUUAUCCUCAUUAGGGUCAUGGGGGGUGCUGGAGUCUAUCCCAGCUGACUCGGGUGAAGGCAGGGGACACCCUGGACAGGUCACCAGUCUGUCACAGGGCUACAUAUACAGACACACAAUCACACUCACAUUCACACCUACGGACAAUUUAGAGUUAUCAAUUAACCUCAGCAUGUUUUUGGACUGUGGGAGGAAGCCGGAGUACCCGGAGAAAACCCACGCAUGCACAGGGAGAACAUGCAAACUCCAUGCAGAAAGAUCCCAGGCCCAGGCCGGGAUUUGAACCGGGGAUCUUCUUGCUGCAAGGCGAAAGUGCUAACCAGUACUUCACUGUGCAGCCCAUGUUGAAUCCUUAUUUUUUUUAAAAGAUUUCCCCCACUUAAAUGUUUACAUCAGCCCGUCAAACAUAUUUAAUGUUAGACAAGAAUAACCAAAGUAAAAACAAAAUGCAGUUUUUAAACGAUGAUUUAAUGAUUUAUGAGAAUGAACCUAUCCAAACCUACCCGGCCCUGUGUGAAAAAGUAAUUGCCUUCCUUGUUAAAUCGUGAAUUAACUGUGGUUAAUCCCAUUUUUUGGUUCAAUUCCACCAACCACAUCCAAACCUGAUUACCUCCAGACCUGUUCAAUGAAGAAUCACUUAAAUAGAACCUGUCUAAAUAAAAUCAGCCGAAAGACCUCAAAAUGCUGCAGGACAACGAUCAAAAACACACCAGCAAGUCGACUUUUGAAUGGCUUAAGAAAAACCAAAUGAAGGUUCUGAAGUGACCGAGUGAAAGUCUGAACUUAAGUCCGAUUGAAAUGCUGGCAGGACCUGAAAACCCUCCAGUGUUGCUGAAUUAAAAUAAUUCUGCAAAGAGAUGUGAAAGACUCAUCGCCAGUUCUGAAACACACUUGAUUUCAGUUGUUGCUGCUGAGGGUGGCCCAACCAGUGAUUAGGUUUAGGGGGCAGUGACUUUUUCACACAGGGACAGGUAGCUUUGAAUAGUUUUUUUUUCUCUUGAGAAAUAUCGUAAUUUAAAAACUGCAUUUUAUAUUUACUUGGAUUAUCUUUGUCUGAUAUUUACAUUUGUUUGAUGGUCUUAAACAUUAAAGUGGGACUAAAUACAAAAAAAAUAGGAAUUUGAGAAGGGGCAAAUACUUUUUCACUGAACCAUUUAUCAUGCUGGACAGAGCAGCAUUCUGAGGAUAGAUACGCUAAGCUAACCUCGUUGAAGUGAUUGUGGUUGUGUCGACAUGUGAGUCAAACGCUUUAACUUUCAGGUCAUUAUUUUUGAAAUAAAGGUUUUUAUAAACACUAA